rnacentral:rRNA from 1 species
UGAGCAAUCUGCCCUUCUCAUCGGAAUAACCAUUGGAAACGAUGGCUAAUGCCGAAUAUGACCUCGGAUCACAUGUUCUGAGGUGGAAAGCUCCGGCGGAGAAGGAUGAGCUCGCGGCCUAUCAGCUUGUUGGUGAGGUAAUGGCCCACCAAGGCGACGACGGGUAGCCGGCCUGAGAGGGUGACCGGCCACACUGGGACUGAGACACGGCCCAGAUCCUACGGG